UGUAUAAGUGCUGAUUAUUGAUUUUGCCAAAAUUUAUUUUAUAAAUUUGCCACUGGGAUAAAGCAAUGUGGGCAGUGGUGUGGAAAAACUAAGUCCUUAUCUCCCAUGGCACAAAGUCAAUAGAUAAUGUCUAAAAUUGAUAUUUCAAGAAACAGCUGUAUAAUAUUCAAUUAUAGAGGUAAAUGCCAGGGGAAAACCCUAGAAGUACGAAGGAUGGAUGCCUCUGGGGAAAGGGAGUACAUGUGGAAUAGGAGAUUUCUGUAUGUAAACAUGACUUCAAACAAGUAUUCUUCGGAUAACAAAUAAUUAAAUGUAAAUUUGAGGUGGGUUUUUUUUUUUUUUUUUUAACAAGACAAAGAUAGCUGGUAACAGCCCUUAGUGGUGGCCUAAAUCUUUUUUUUUUUUCUUUCAAUCUGACUGGCCUAGCCGUUAUCAAUUCAAAACCUCAGCUUUUCUCAUCAUGAACAGAAAAGAUAACUUUGAAAAUGUGUUACAUUUUGAACUUCUUACUUAUACUAUAUCAUGCUCCUGUUUUUCUUGACUAGGUUUUCAAAAGGUAAACUUUCUUGGAAAUAAAGGGAACAAGAACAGGGGCCUGGGAUCUGGAGCCGAAAGUGGUGGAUUUCAGCCCGGCUGUGCGGGCUGUCAGGGCUCACUGAGUCCUCGGACAAGUUACUACCUUGCCCUGGAACACGGAGUCCUGCUCUGUGGAUGGGAAAACCAACACUUCCCUUGUAAGGUAGUUAUGGGCAGGGUGUGGGCAUUUUAUUUCACUGCAGCCUCAGAAGACCUGGCUCCCUGCAUGAAGUAGGUACCUGCCAAGUACUGGUUUGAGCAAAUUAAGAGCAAUUUCUACAGACAUUUCAAAAUGGAAGCAAGUGGUUGCGACGAUUUGGGUACCGGUUUGCCAAGAAUUUGGAGUUGGACUGGAAAUGCUCCUUCAAAGUUCUGUUCGUGCUCAGGAGUCUAGAUUUUUCUUCCAUCCUACCAGAGAAAUAGAGAACUCAAGGCCAUGCUGUUGGGCUGUUGUAACGAGAAAGAAUGGCCAGAGAAGAGGCACAGUCAUCAAACCGGUUUUCCCAGGAAUGCAGGAUAUUUGUGAUUUUCAUCCUUAUGGAGAGGAGCAGCAGAGCCCAGUGGUGAUGAACCCCGAACUCUGGAGAAGACUCCUUGGACCCGAAUCUCACUUCUACUACCAGUUGCAUGACUUUGGGUAAAUGACUUAACCUUCUUGGCCCCCGAGUUAUUCACUCGUAGGACAGAGAUAAUGGUGGUAUUAUUAUCAUAUAGCUAUUACUUUCAUGAGGAUUGACUAAGUUAAAAUCUUUAAAGCUCUCAGAACAAUGCCGAGCACAGAGUUAAGUGCUGUGUAAGUGGUUGCUAUGCUACUAUUCUUCCUUUGUG
rnacentral:lncRNA from 12 species